rnacentral:misc_RNA from 1 species
AAAAAAAAAAAAAAAAAAAGAACUCAAAACUUACCAGUUUGGACUAAAAAUACCAAAGCAUGGACAAUUCAAGAUUUGGAAACACUAAUGGUUAUUGCCAUCUUCUUUGUCUGCUGAUAAGGGGUCCAAUGUGGCUUUCUUCAUUGGGCUUGAUUCUGCUGAGCCUGUACCCAUCAACACUCGCUUAACUCCUCUUCCCACAACACCAAGAUGAGUGACCGCAUUCCCAUUUGUGUGAGCAGUGGAAACAGUUGGAGAGUCAAAACCUCCACUGCUGUUAGCAGUAGCCAUCUGUGAAGAAUUCACGACAGCUGGAGCUGCACUUUUCUCACCACCUCUUAACUUGGCAGAUGCCAUUCCCAGGAUCUCAGAAAGAAUAGAUUUUGGGUUCAGGGCCAGCUGUUGAAGAUCUUCAAGCUUCUUUUCCAGCUCUCCAGACAGGCCAGUAAGUGUUUCAAUCUCUGAUUCUUUAUCUGUAACAGCUUUAUCAUUCUGCAAGCCAUUGGAUGACUGCUGGACACCCUCAUCUAAUUCAGAAAUUGCCAAUGACUUUGUUGAUUCUGAGGAACUCUUUACUUCAUUCAAGAGCUGCUGCAGCCUCGACUUGCAAAUUGAUAUUGCUUUCUGGCAAUAAGGAAUUGCUUCCUGAGGCUUAGAGCCAAUCUC